AAAACCGGUGGCUUUGAUAUAUUUUUAAAAAAAAUCGCCCCUUUAUAAACCGCAAACCCUAACUCGUCACUCCUCUCCAAUUCUUUUCUCAGCCGUUUCGUUCUCCUCCUUCGCUUUCUCUCUCUUCCUCCUUUCUCUCUCCUGCAUCCCCUCCAUCUGUUCGUCUCCAUCAGUUCUCCUCCUCUUUCUCAUCUCCUUCGAUCUCCUUCUCGCCUCCAUCUUUUCUUUCAUUUCCACCACCACCAAGACCACCGCCGCAUCAAUAACACCACGAAGACAUGCAUGAGCACCACCGAUUUUACCACCACCGCAACAAUAAUACCACGAACACAUGCAUGAGCAACACCAACUAUAUUCGAGGUAUAUUGAUUUAGAUCUUAAAUCGAAGAAUCAAGAUGCAGGAAUAUUGAUUUAGAUGCAUCUGGCGUUUUUUUGAUUUUGAUGUUGUAAUUUUUUUUAUUUAUAUUGUAAUUUUAUUUUUUAAUUUAUAUGUUGUAAUUGUUCAACAAUAUUGAUUUAUAUUGCAAUUUUUUUUUUUUAAUUAUAUAUUGUAAUUUUUCGAUUAUAUGGAUUGAUAUAGUUCAGUUUAUA